AUGGCCUCGCGCGGAGGAGCCAGCGGCGAGGAGGCGGGGGCGGAGGCGGCGAGGAGGGGCGGAGGCGUUGGGGUAGGGAGAGGGAUGCGGCUGUUCUCGCCGGAGUACUACGCGCUGUGCUUCGGCGGCGGGAUGCUGGCGGCCGGCGCCACCCACCUCGCCAUCACCCCGCUCGACGUCCUCAAGGUCAACAUGCAGGUGAAUCCAGUUAAGUAUAACACUAUAUGCUCGGGACUGAGUUCUCUUGUAAGAGAAGAGGGCGCUUCGUCGCUUUGGAGAGGCUGGGGAGGGAAGCUAUUCGGCUAUGGCGCUCAGGGUGGCUGCAAGUUUGGCCUCUACGAGUUCUUCAAGAAGCAGUAUUCUGAUGCGCUGGUGGACAGCAACAGGAGCACGGUUUACUUUCUUAGCAGCGCCUCUGCUCAGAUCAUAGCUGAUGUUGCCCUCUGCCCCUUUGAAUCGGUGAAAGUCCGUGUGCAGACACAGCCCAUAUUUGCAAAAGGUUUGGUCGAUGGCUUUCCAAGGGUGUAUGCCGCUGAAGGCUUGUCUGGAUUUUACAGGGGGCUUUUACCGCUUUGGGGGCGAAAUCUUCCAUUUUCUAUGAUAAUGUUUUCGUCAUUUGAGCAUACCGUGGACUUCCUAUACCAGAAAGUCAUUCAAAAGAAGAAACAGGAUUGUUCAACAGCACAGCAGCUUGGUGCCACAUGCCUGGCUGGAUAUAUUUCUGGUGCUGUUGGUACUGUUGUUUCAAAUCCUGCAGAUAACAUCGUUUCUUCUCUGUACAACAAAAAGGCUAAAAACGUUAUACAUGCUAUAAAAAGCAUUGGAUUGCGUGGGCUGUUCACAAGAAGCCUGCCCAUUCGAAUUACCCUUGUAGGGCCUGUCGUGACCAUGCAAUGGUUCUUCUACGAUACCAUUAAGAUAUUUACUGGAUUGCCGCCCAGUGGAGGGCUUCCUCGUGAUCUGGAAAAACUUGACACGUAA
rnacentral:rRNA from 1 species